AGGUAUCUCUAGGUAAUGUUAAUACAUUAUUAAAUGCUGAUUAUACUGCUGAUAAACUACCUAAAGGUAAACAUAGUGUAUUAGGUGCUGGUAGAGUGGCUCCUGAUCCUAAAUCUAAAGUUGUCACGAGUGAUGGUGUAACAGUUCCUAUUGGUAAAGGUCAGGAUACCAAGAUUGUGAAUCCUAGUGGUUAUACUCUAAAUUAUAAUGAAUACAUAGUGUACGAUACCAAACAAAUCAAAAUGAAAUACCUGUUAAAAGUUAAAUUCAAUUACAGAUAAGAUAUGGAUAUAAUAGCUGUCCUAUAUGCACUGGGCUUUUAUUCACAGGAUUAAGAAAAGGGUGUGAAAUUCUGCAUAAGCUUAAAACUAGUGAUAGUCCGAUAAUCUGUUUGAACAUCGGUAAUUGGCAGAUAAGUGGCCUUUCGGGAAAAAUCGGUAUUGACUGAUACACAACCAUUUUGCCGAUACUUGAGUUGCCGAUAUCUGUUCAAAACGACUCAAUAAUUACCUUUAAAAUAUUAUCCGAGUUGUGAACAAAUCAUUAUUUUGCUUGACACACGGUGAAUCUAAAUAGCCACGCACACGUGCACAUUGCUAUUUAGAGGUACCGGUAAUACAAGACGUAAAAAGAAAAGAAUAAACAGUAGAAAAUCAUAAGCAGUCUCCGUUAUAGCCACGUAAAUCCUUAUUCACACACUGUUUGAGAGUUUGAUUCUCUAAAUCAGAUUUUUGAGAAUGUCAUUUCUGCGCAUGUGCAGACAGACAUUAACGUACAACAGUCCACCUGAUAAACCUUUUUAUUGGAAUAGGGAAUAAGCCAAUUGCAUGAUGAUCAAAAUCAUAGAAUUGGACAACACAGUCAGUACAUCACGGAAACCCCUCUUCGAUCUGUUUUAAAAGUGUGCUGAUCACAAACUAGAACAAUACUUAAUUAGGCUAUUGAUUUUUUUAUUGUCCCCCGCCUUUCGAAGAAAGCAGGGGACUAUUAAAAUGGGUUCGUCCGUCUGUCUGUCCGUCUGUCUGUCCGUCCGUCUGUCUGUCCGUCUGUCUGUCCGUCUGUCCGUCCGUCUGUCUGUCCGUCACACUUUUUGGGACACAAUAACUCUCUUCCUAAUUGAGCUAGAAUGUUCAAACUUGGUGUAUGUGUUUAUUAGGUCAAUGCCUUGAUGGAGUUCGAAGAUGAGCAUUUUCCGCUUAGGGUAAGCAGAGAUAAGCAAUUUGAUUGGUUGAUGCUUUGGGACACGAUAACUCUCUUCCUAAUUGGGCUAGAAUGUUCAAACUUGGUGUAUGUGUUGAUUAGGUCAAUGCCUUGAUGGAGUUCGAAGAUGAGCAUUUUCCGCUUAGGGUAAGCAGAGAUAAGCAAUUUGAUUGGUUGAUGCUUUGGGACACGAUAACUUUUAAUUGAGCUAGAAUGUUCAAACUUGGUGUAUGUGUUUAUUAGGUCAAUGCCUUGAUGGAGUUCGAAGAUGAGCAUUUUCCGCUUAGGGUAAGCAGAGAUAAGCAAUUUGAUUGGUUGAUGCUUUGGGACACGAUAACUCUCUUCCUAAUUGGGCUAGAAUGUUCAAACUUGGUGUAUGUGUUGAUUAGGUCAAUGCCUUGAUGGAGUUCGAAGAUGAGCAUUUUCCGCUUAGGGUAAGCAGAGAUAAGCAAUUUGAUUGGUUGAUGCUUUGGGACACGAUAACUUUUAAUUGAGCUAGAAUGUUCAAACUUGGUGUAUGUGUUUAUUAGGUCAAUGCCUUGAUGGAGUUCGAAGAUGAGCAUUUUCCGCUUAGGGUAAGCAGAGAUAAGCAAUUUGAUUGGUUGAUACUUUGGGGCACGAUAACUCUCUUCCUAAUUGAGCUAGAAUGUUCAAACUUGGUGUAUGUGUUGAUUAGGUCAAUGCCUUGAUGGAGUUCGAAGAUGAGCAUUUUCCGCUUAGGGUAAGCAGAGAUAAGCAAUUUGAUUGGUUGAUGCUUUGGGACACGAUAACUUUAGUUGUCCCCCGCCUUUUGAAGAAAGCAGGGGACUAUUAAAAUGGGUUCGUCCGUCUGUCUGUCUGUCCGCCUGCCUGUCCGUCCGUCUGUCUGUCCGUCACACUUUUUGGGACACAAUAACUCUCCUUCUAAUUGACCUAGAAUGUUCAAACUUGGUGUGGGUGUAUAUUAGGUCAAUGCUUUGAUGGAGUUCGAAGAUGAGCAUUUUCUGCUUAGUGUAAGCAGAGAUAAGCAAUUUGAUUGGUUGAUGCUUUGGGACACGAUAACUUUAGUUCUAAUUAAGUGAGAGUGAUGAAACUUGGUGUAUAGUUUUAUUACAUCAGUACCUUGACUAAGUUCGAUGAUGAGCAUUUUCUGCUCAGGGUAAGCAGAGCGAUAAGCAAUUUGAUUGGCCGAGACUUCGGAACACAAUAACUCUCCUUCUAAUUGAGCUAAAAUGUUCACACUGCUUCUAAUUGAGGUAGAAUGUUUAAACUUGAUGUAGAUGUUCGUCUUGACUGAGUUCAAUGAUUAACAUAUCGAUCUCAAGCUAAGCAGAGAUAAGCAAUUUCCUUGGUCGAUGCUUUGGGACAAUAUAACUUUGAUUCUGUCUGAUAGAGAGUGAUGAAAUUUAGUGUAUAGUUGAUAAACAGUUUGAUUGCUCGAUACUUUUGAAAAAAAUAAACAGUUUGAUUGCUCGAUACUUUUGAAAAAAAUAGAUGUGCGAUUAAUUAAUAUGUGGCAUCUAUUUAUUUGCGGAUUUCGGCGGGGGACAUCAGCCUCACUGUUGGCUUGUUUAAAUUGUUUCUGAUAAUUUAUUAACUAUAUGAAAUAAACAAUGGUCCUCACAAUAGUUAUUUGUCUAUCACGAUAAUAAAACCAAAGAAGUUGUCAACAAUGGCCCUUCAUUGCAUAUCUGGCUGGUAUGAAGCGUCUUGUGCUGUUAUGUCGCUUAUCGUAAAAUAGUUCCAAAUCUUACUACUUCUGGCAUGCAUUUUUUUCCCUGCGUUUUAUCUAGUUCCCUGCUGGUAUUGUUUGGACACUUUCAUAAUUGGUAGAAGUUUUGGAAAAGGCGGGGAAAAUAUUACAUGGUUUACGCGUGAUUGGAAUGAAAGAUAAAAGGGGGUAUAUCCCUUUGAUGUCACGUGAUUACUGUCAGACAUUCCGACUUCUAGAGUAGAUGUCGAUAAAAAUUUAGAAAUAAUUUAGUGAUUUAUAUUGUUAUGCUAGGCUACUUUAAAAAUUUAGACAUAAUUUGUAUCAAUAAAUAAUAACUUAUAAUAUAGAUCAUACUACCAACAAAUGAGUUUCUAUUAGAUGGUUUUAUAUUUAACUAUAGUUCUAGAAAUGGCGGGAGAAUGUCACGUGAUUGCCACUGUUGACAGCAUUAUGAUACAGCAUUAAUGAUACAGCAAAUAAUCCAGUUUGUAAUAGAUUUGUGAUUGCUUAGGAAGCGUGACCCAAUUUUAUUACUUCAAAAACACAGCGUUCGUGUUUGAUUCCCGAGGUAAAAUAGUACCAUGCGUUUCUCGACUAAUAAUGACGUACGUAUAUCUACAUAGAUUAUCUUGCCAUUCAAGGCAUUUUAAUGUGUAAUAGUUUUAUAUCCACCACUAUCGGUAAUUGUAUCUGUAUCAGCCGAUAUAUUUUGCAGUCAAUAUCUGAUAUCUGUAAAACCGAUCGGUGCCAUAUCGGACCAUCACUACUUAAAACGUUCCAAUUUGAACAUCCUUAAUGUAAUUGCAGUCAAAUCAAAUUACAUGGAAAUUAUUUUGUUCCUAGUUAUCUGAAUAGAAGCUCAGAAUUCACCACUUACACAGUAGUUCAUUUUAUUCCUGCAAUCAUGUAUAUCAUCUUAAUGGUAAUUGUACUGUAGGAUUUAGUAUAUUAUGCAUAUUUAUCUAGACAAUCAUUGUCAUAAUUGUUAUUCCACUUUAUAAAAACAAUCAUAAAACAUUGUAAUGUCUCAAGUAGGUUAAAAUAUGUCGUUCUUAUACUAUGCUGAAAAAUUAUAUAACAUGUAUGUUUUCAAUUAUCUGCUUGGAAUGGUGGCAUUUUGUAAUUAAGUCCUACCAAAGAUUUAACAGUCAUUCCUUCAUCCUUUGUAAUUACAUCCAUUUGCACCAUUACCAAUUCGUAUGUGACCUUUUUACUUUUAUUUUAGUACAUAGUUGUUAGUGAAUUUUUUGUUAAAUUAUGUUGAAAUUGUA